AAAUAGAGGUGUUAUACAAAAAUAAAUACCCAUUCUUUUUUUUUUUUCUCUUUAGAAUAAGUCUUUUGCAAAAGGCAGCUUGGUCCCUAACUGAUAGGAGAAUGAGUCUCCAAGGGCCUCAGCGAUGGUGAGCUGCUGUUCAGAUGUCCCGGUAGGUCCUGACUCAAAGAUGUGAGCACUGGAGCCGGGGGAUGGAGGUCUCCUCUGGACUGGCAGCAGUCUAGUCUUUCUACCUCUUCCACUGGCACUAGGCCUAGGCAGAACGGGCUUCCAUGGUGAAACAGUGGAUCUCGUCGAGGAUCCAAACUAGAACCUCCCACUUUGUUGCCCAUCACUGGAUGAUGCAGGCCAACGAAGCGCUCUUGAAGGUGUGGAC
rnacentral:lncRNA from 1 species